GCCUCANCACUUAGACUGGCCCUAUCCAGUCUUUUCUGACCUUGGAAGCUAAGCAGGCUCAGGCCUGGUUGACCUUUCAGUGGGAGACUGCAUAGAAAUAGAAAAGUGUUGUAGGCU
rnacentral:rRNA from 1 species